AUAUAUAUAUGUUUCUGUGUGUGUGUGUGUUGUUUUUUUUUUUUUUUCCCUUUAAUACUCCUUAAAGUCAGGGAAGGAAGGCAGAAGUAGGUUUUCAGAUUUCGCCAUCUCUCAAGUUGCAGGGACAAUUCUGUGAAGCUAAGCCAGGCCCCUACUUGCUCCUGGUGUCCAUCUAACUGAUGCUGUCAGGUUUUAUGCCUCCUUUCCUCUUCCAGUUGCUGCUGGCAAUUUCUCAUUCCUCGAGAUGGCUGAGGCCAUCUCUGUGACUGUCCCCUCAAGACUAGAAGCCAGACACUGUCCACACUUGUGGUGCAGACCUGUCUUCCUUGAGCCUUUCAGGUACAUAGGGAGGCCUGUGGUGGCGGGUGGAGGUGAGCAAUAGGGUUCAGAAGGGAAGGUGGAGAGGGAUGCAGCUAGGAAAAAAACAAAACAAAACAAAACUGAUUCCAGAGCUGUAAGAAAGGUGCAGCCAGGCCUGAGUGAGGGAAGGGAAGGCCAGUCCCUUCUCUUGCCUGGCUAUGGGACUGGGACAAAGUGGUUGGCUAAGAGCUGUAGGGCUUCACUUGGAGAAAGCAGUUUGAGGGUACACAAGCAGCUGUGAGGGAGAGAAGAAACCAGACCGGGCCACGUAGGCAGUCCACGGAACGUUGGAGAGCUACGGUGAGGCCCUCAAACAAGGGAGGGGCUUACCCGGGGCAGUGGGCCAGCCCCUAGUGGACAGCUAUGGUGCCGACAGGAGGACUCCUGGAGAAAUGGAAAGAUCAUGAGCCUGAAGGGGAAUUCAGUUUCUGGGAAUGGGCAGAUAAGAAUGGAGAAAAUGUCAUUCUGAGAUGUCACUGUAGUUCUUCCCCAAACACAGCUGACCCCAGGCAAGAGGCCAGACCCCAGCCUGUUCACAGCCCUCCAUCUCUCCCCUGUUUCCAGGGCUGUUUCCACAGCCCCCUUCCACCCCAGCUCAGCACCUCCACAUAAGUGUCUUUCCCCUCCUUUCCUCCAUCCCUUGUCCCCACCACAGUUCCCACUCUGGCAUUGUUUGUUGGCUUGGAGCCAGGGAAUCUGUGGUCUGGGGAGGCAAGCUAGAAGUCUUAACAGCCCUUUCUCACAGGAACAUGAAAUGGCAAAUCCAUUUCAUGUUCGGGAGGUCGAGGAACAGAGCAGUUUCUGGAGCUGGACUGCCUGGGUGUGAAUGCAGCUCCACCCCUUAGCUGCGGGGAGACCAUGGGCACAUUACUGAACCUCAUUUUCCACACCUGUAAAAUACAGACAAUAACAGCUUCCACCACCUACACUGUCAUAAACACAAAAUAGGAGUGUGUGCAAAGCUCUUAGCAUAGUAGCUGGUGCACAGGCAGUGCCCAGCAAGAAGCAGUACUCCAUUUCCUAUGUAACCUCUUUACUCAGCUCCUCACCUCCACUCGUGUCUGGCCCAAACUAUUCUCCAUGCAGCAUGGUGAUCUUUUGAAAAUAUGCUGACAUCCAUCACUCUCCUGAUGAAAACUCCUUAACAGUAUCUCAUUGCUAGCACAGCAGGCAGCCUGCACAGCGACUGCCCACCGCCGCCCUGACUCGGGGCUGUGGUCACAGUAGCCUCUGCUGUUCUUCACCUCUCUCUACCUGGAACAUUAUUCCCUGACCCGCUAAGUCAUGACUCAGCUCAAGUGUCAUUUUCUCAAAGAAGCCCCUCGUAACCACCUACUGCUCUUUUUCAGCAAUAAUCCUCAAUCUGUAAUUACUUCAUUGAUUUAUUGUUCAUGAUCCCAUGAGAAGGCAGCUCCAUGAAGCCAUCCAGCCAAGCGCUUGCUGAAGGAAUGAAGGACACGUUAUCCACGGGUUUUAGGUGCUUUAUAAAUUAAACCGGUUCAGUGGCCUGCCCAGUGAGCCUGACCACCACAGUUCCAAGUUCCCAGCCCUCUGUACGAUCCCCAUGGCUCUCAGUCCUGGCAAGGUGGGUAGAAUCACCUUGGGAGGUUCUAAAACUCUGGAUGGCCCAGGCCUCACUUCUAGAAAUUCUGCUCUCAUCGCCUAUGGUGGGGCCCAGGAAUCUGCCUGUUGUCAGCGCUCCUAGGGGAUUCUAAUACACCGCCAAGAUGGAGCACCAUUGCAAAAGCAAAUGGAUAACGGUGAUUGAAAUUAAAGCCCUGUUCUACUGGGAAAGUUGAUCAAAUUUUUAUUAAGAAUGAGGGUCUUCAGAAGACAGUUGCCUAAUAAGGUCAGGCUAAGGUUAAGAGCUAAGUGUUUCUUAAGAGCAGGACACAUACUGAGAGCAUUUUAAAACCCAGAACUAACACUGGGAAAGCCCAGUCUAAGAUGCUCUUUUCAGAAAGCUUCUUAAGUCCAUUCUCUCAUAACAAUACUCCCCGCAGCCACAUGACAACGAAGGUGAAUGAGGAAACUGAGGCUCAGAAAUGGUGAGAGACUCAUCCUGGGUCACCCUCUGCAGAGACUCUAGAGCCUGGGCUCUUUCGAAUUCAUCACCAAGUCCCCAGGAAGCCUUCACUGGUGCAGGCUCAGGAGCACUGAAGACGGAAAUGCAAAGCAUGUUCUGCUUUCAGGCUACAAAUAGGCCCUGAAGACUUACUCAGGGGGAAUGCAGCAGCGAAUACACCGUUGACCAGAGAAUCCUCCUCCUCCUGUACUGGAAAACUGUGCCCUGUGACUGGGUACAGGGUUGCUGCUUGCGGAGUGGGAGACAGGGAAGGGCCCUCCCGCCCCCUCUCUAGAGCUGAGCACAGACUCAACCCCAGCAUUGCCGGACUCCGCUUGAAUUUGGAUUUGGAAAUUCUUAGGAAAGGAAAUGAGUGGGGUUUUGUGGGGGCUCUGCUUUAAGAAAUGCCCAUGUCAACCAUGUCAAUGCCCAAGACCCCCUCAGUCUUCAGUUUUCUUUAAUAGGGUACAUCCCCAGAGUAAAAACCAGGUCCAUGUUCAAGAAAUAGGUUGGAGACUCCUUGAUUCCUGGCUCAAGCCAACUUCUGAGAAGAAAGACACCCCGGAGUAGUGGAGGUGGGGUGCACGGCCCCCUCCUGUAUCACAAAUCAAUUCACAAAGUAGUGAAUCCAUCUUUGGACAGAAACCUCAACUGCAGUCAGGCUUCCGUUUAUGACAGUAACUCGAGAAGCCUUUUCUCAAGGAGAUGCCAACGCAUGAAGUGGUUGUAUUUAUAGAAGUUAAAUCAACCUCUUCUGAGAGGUCAUAAUACCUUACAGGAAAUGGUGAGCCUCUGUUGUGUGAAAACUCUGGAUAAAACUGAUCGUAGAAAUAGUAACAAAAACAUUCGUGAAUAUUCUUGCCUGCCUGCUUAUGAGAAAGAAAAUUACCAGCUGAGGUUAAACCAUUAGUGUGUAUAAAGUUGAUUUAUACUGUGAAUCUAGCAAAGUUGGUCACAUUUUAAAAUUUUUUGAUAGGACAUGUAUUUAAAUGUGAAUAAAUUCAGCCCUUUUGAAAAGGAA